ACGGAUCCACCAGCCGCUGCGAGGAAACUUCCGCCUCCUCCUACCGCGCGCUGGCGACUGCAUCUCCCAGGGCCGAGCCCUCGAUCCGGCGUGCUUCGCUGCCGGCAUCGAGGCAGGUGGGAGACAAGAGGGCUUGCGAGGGCGGACGCGGAGCAUGGCGGAGGAGCAUAUCGAAGAGGCAUCCAUGGCCAUCGCCGGACGCGGAGCAUGGCGGAGGAGCAGAUCGAAGAGGCGUCCAUGGCCGUGGCGGCGGCCACGCCGUUCUAGCUCCAGUUCGACAAGCCCAUCCCGUUCCAGAUAAAAAUGGCAGAAUGGAAUCCAGAGAAGGAUCUGCUUGCUAUGGUUACUGAUGACUCCAAGGUUCUCCUCCAUCGCUUCAAUUGGCAAAGGCUUUGGACAAUCUCUCCAGGGAAGUGCAUCACAUCAAUUUGUUGGAGCCCUGAUGGUAAAAUAAUAGCACUUGGCACAGAAGAUGGUUUGAUUCUUUUGCAUGAUGUGGAGGUGUGUAUCUGGAUGAUGAUAAAAACUGUCGGUGUCUAUUGUAUCUUCGUAUGAACAUUCGUUUGUACUUCAUAGACAUCUGAUCGAGUGCCUAUCUUCUCUUAA